rnacentral:rRNA from 1 species
AUUGAACGCUGGCGGCAUGCUUUACACAUGCAAGUCGGACGGCAGCACAGGGAAGCUUGCUUCUCGGGUGGCGAGUGGCGAACGGGUGAGUAACAUAUCGGAACGUACCGGGUAGCGGGGGAUAACUGAUCGAAAGAUCAGCUAAUACCGCAUACGUCUUGAGAGGGAAAGCAGGGGACCUUCGGGCCUUGCGCUAUCCGAGCGGCCGAUAUCUGAUUAGCUGGUUGGCGGGGUAAAGGCCCACCAAGGCGACGAUCAGUAGCGGGUCUGAGAGGAUGAUCCGCCACACUGGGACUGAGACACGGCCCAGACUCCUACGGGAGGCAGCAGUGGGGAAUUUUGGACAAUGGGCGCAAGCCUGAUCCAGCCAUGCCGCGUGUCUGAAGAAGGCCUUCGGGUUGUAAAGGACUUUUGUCAGGGAAGAAAAGGCCGUUGCCAAUAUCGGCGGCCGAUGACGGUACCUGAAGAAUAAGCACCGGCUAACUACGUGCCAGCAGCCGCGGUAAUACGUAGGGUGCGAGCGUUAAUCGGAAUUACUGGGCGUAAAGCGGGCGCAGACGGUUACUUAAGCAGGAUGUGAAAUCCCCGGGCUCAACCCGGGAACUGCGUUCUGAACUGGGUGACUCGAGUGUGUCAGAGGGAGGUGGAAUUCCACGUGUAGCAGUGAAAUGCGUAGAGAUGUGGAGGAAUACCGAUGGCGAAGGCAGCCUCCUGGGAUAACACUGACGUUCAUGUCCGAAAGCGUGGGUAGCAAACAGGAUUAGAUACCCUGGUAGUCCACGCCCUAAACGAUGUCAAUUAGCUGUUGGGCAACUUGAUUGCUUGGUAGCGUAGCUAACGCGUGAAAUUGACCGCCUGGGGAGUACGGUCGCAAGAUUAAAACUCAAAGGAAUUGACGGGGACCCGCACAAGCGGUGGAUGAUGUGGAUUAAUUCGAUGCAACGCGAAGAACCUUACCUGGUUUUGACAUGUGCGGAAUCCUCCGGAGACGGAGGAGUGCCUUCGGGAGCCGUAACACAGGUGCUGCAUGGCUGUCGUCAGCUCGUGUCGUGAGAUGUUGGGUUAAGUCCCGCAACGAGCGCAACCCUUGUCAUUAGUUGCCAUCAUUCGGUUGGGCACUCUAAUGAGACUGCCGGUGACAAGCCGGAGGAAGGUGGGGAUGACGUCAAGUCCUCAUGGCCCUUAUGACCAGGGCUUCACACGUCAUACAAUGGUCGGUACAGAGGGUAGCCAAGCCGCGAGGCGGAGCCAAUCUCACAAAACCGAUCGUAGUCCGGAUUGCACUCUGCAACUCGAGUGCAUGAAGUCGGAAUCGCUAGUAAUCGCAGGUCAGCAUACUGCGGUGAAUACGUUCCCGGGUCUUGUACACACCGCCCGUCACACCAUGGGAGUGGGGGAUACCAGAAGUAGGUAGGGUAACCGCAAGGAGUCCGCUUACCACGGUAUGCUUCAUGACUGGGGUG